UACGGAGGGUGCAAGCGUUGCUCGGAUUUAUUGGGCGUAAAGGGUCCGUAGGCGGUUUUGUAAGUCAGUGGUGAAAGCCCAUCGCUCAACGGUGGAACGGCCAUUGAUACUGCAAAACUUGAAUUAUUGGGAAGUAACUAGAAUAUGUAGUGUAGCGGUGAAAUGCUUAGAUAUUACAUGGAAUACCAAUUGCGAAGGCAGGUUACUAUCAAUAUAUUGACGCUGAUGGACGAAAGCGUGGGGAGCGAACAGG
rnacentral:rRNA from 1 species